AUCGAGCUGAUGUAUCCCAAAUAGAACGAAACGCGCGUCGAACUGGAU
rnacentral:hammerhead_ribozyme from 1 species